AGUUGAUCAUGGCUCAGAACGAACGCUGGCGGCAGGCUUAAUCCAUGCAAGUCAAGGGGGUGUAGCAAUACACAACCGGCGUACGGGUGAGUAACGCGUGGGAAUGUGUCCAUUUGUGGGGAAUAGCUUCUGGAAACGGAAGGUAAUACCGCAUACGCCCUUCGGGGGAAAGAUUUAUCGCAGAUGGAGCGGCCCGCGUUAGAUUAGCUAGUUGGUGGGGUAACGGCUUACCAAGGCGAUGAUCUAUAGCUGGUCUGAGAGGACGAUCAGCCACAUUGGGACUGAGACACGGCCCAGACUCCUACGGGAGGCAGCAGGGAGGAAUAUUGGGCAAUGGGGGAAACCCUUACGACCCAGCCAUGCCGCGUGAGUGAAGAAGGCCUUCGGGUUGUAAAGCUCUUUUGUACGGGAAGAUGAUGACGGUACCGUAAGAAUAAGCACCGGCUAACUUCGUGCCAGCAGCCGC
rnacentral:rRNA from 1 species